rnacentral:misc_RNA from 1 species
GGACGCCGUAUCAGUCUCCUUCCAAAUCACGAAUCUAGGACCAGGACCAAGAAGGUAAGAACUCCAACCCACUCCUCACAAGGAACCGAACUGGCGGCUGCGGCGGCGCGUCGAAAUGAGGCACGAGCGGCCGCGUUCGGCGGUUGACAGCGUGCGGCAGAGGUCGUCGUCCGGAGUGGAGGCCACGGCGGCGCUGGCGUGCGUGAAGAAGAACGAGAGGGC